CCGACUGCUGCUUUACGCGCGCCCUCUUUUAUACAAUGGUGUCUGUGUGGUCGUGUGCUACGACAAAACAAGAAAUUACGAUCAUGUCGUCUCGCGAAGGUGGAUGAAUAACCUCAAAAUGAAGAAAAUCCAUCUGUUAACACACUGGUGUUUGUGAUGUCACGCAAUAUACCACAGUACCUUGAUUCAAAUGGAUGAUUGUGUUGAUUGCAGUUCAGGACUGAAGAUUUCUCUCUGAAAGAGGAAUAGAAGUAAAGGAAGUGGUCCACCGUCCAUCUGUAUCUUCCUAGAGCAGGAUGGGUCCUUUAAAGAUCUAGUCUUCAACUUUUCUCCUGGGGACCCAUUGUGAGUUUGGUGAGACGCCUGCACGGUAUCCUGACCGCAACCCAAUAGGACAUCUUUGGGAUGAAUUAAAGUGGAGACUAUAUGGGCAAGGCCUUCUCAUCCAACAUUAGUGUCUGACAAAUGUGCUUUAAAAAGGGUCUCAAAGUCCCAUAAACGCACUUAUUGCUGCAAAGGGCCAAUUCCAUAUUAAACCCUAUGAAUUAAGAAUGGGAUGUCAUUCAGGUUCAUGUGCAUAUAAGGGCAAGUGUCCCAAAACUUUUGGCAAUAUGGUGUAUGUACUGUCAUAGAGGUAAAAAAUUAAAAAUAAAAACUACUGUUAAUCAUCA